rnacentral:rRNA from 1 species
AGUGAACGCUGGCGGUAGGCCUAACACAUGCAAGUCGAACGGCAGCACAGUAAGAGCUUGCUCUUACGGGUGGCGAGUGGCGGACGGGUGAGGAAUACAUCGGAAUCUACCUUUUCGUGGGGGAUAACGUAGGGAAACUUACGCUAAUACCGCAUACGACCUACGGGUGAAAGCAGGGGAUCUUCGGACCUUGCGCGAUUGAAUGAGCCGAUGUCGGAUUAGCUAGUUGGCGGGGUAAAGGCCCACCAAGGCGACGAUCCGUAGCUGGUCUGAGAGGAUGAUCAGCCACACUGGAACUGAGACACGGUCCAGACUCCUACGGGAGGCAGCAGUGGGGAAUAUUGGACAAUGGGCGCAAGCCUGAUCCAGCCAUACCGCGUGGGUGAAGAAGGCCUUCGGGUUGUAAAGCCCUUUUGUUGGGAAAGAAAAGCAGCAGGUUAAUACCCCGCUGUUCUGACGGUACCCAAAGAAUAAGCGCCGGCUAACUUCGUG